rnacentral:rRNA from 1 species
CAACGUAAAGAACCUACCUUAUAGACAGGGACAACUAUUGGAAACGAUAGCUAAUACCAGAUAAGAAAGAAACUCGCAUGAGAGAAAAUCGAAAGUCGGAGCAAUCUGACACUAUAAGAUGGCUUUGCGGUGCAUUAGCUAGUUGGUAGGGUAAAAGCCUACCAAGGCGACGAUGCAUAGCCGACCUGAGAGGGUGAUCGGCCACAUUGGGACUGAGACACGGCCCAGACUCCUACGGGAGGCAGCAGCA